rnacentral:lncRNA from 1 species
AGUGACGUAGUAAUAAUUGUCCACUUCCUAAGGCUCCCACUAGAUGUCAACAGUCUUUAGAAAGUUGUUUGAGGCGUCUACGAUGAACAGAGACCGAAUGAGAAGGCUGGGAAGUUGGUCACCCAGGGAAUGACAUCACUUCAUUUGCGCGCAUUCACGAGAGUGGUAGCUCUGUUCCAAAACGUUUUUCAAGACACAGGAACCGUCCGGUUGUAAUAUUACUGAAUCUUUACGUUCUAAAGGCCCUAAAGAUUGAUGUUUUACAACGUUUGACAUGUUUGAACGAACGUAAAUACAACUUUUUUAAACUUUUCGUCGUGACAUUGUCCGCGCGCUUCCUACAUUUGGAGUAGCUGAACUGAACGCGCAAACAACAAGGAGUUAUUUGGACAUAAAUUAUGGAGUUUAUCGAACAAAACAACAUUUAUUGUGGACCUGGGAUUCCUGGAAGUGUCUUCUGAUGAAGAUCAUCAAAGAAGUUGGUGUUGGUGCUCUAGACAGAAGCAUACAACAUUGAUGGCCAGCUGCUGUUGACCCCCAAGAGGUUAAUUUGAGUGAGAAAGAGUUGAAAAUGUUAUGCAAUGGCAGCUGCAGCUGCAGCUCCUCAAGCCAUGAUACUUCACGUUGUUGAUGCUGACCAUACAAGGAAGAUAAACCUCAGCUCCAGCAUCUGUUGAUGACUUGAUAAACAUUUUGAAGGCCAAGUUUGAGUUUGACUACAACUUCCGCUUGCAGUAUGAAGACCUUGACUUUGAUGGACAACUUACCUGCUUGAUUGAGAGUGCACCUUUUAGUGGAAGGAGGAGAUACAAGUUAUACAGCUGACACAGUAAUACUUUCAGAUGUGUCUUCCCCAAAGCGCCUCAGUAGGUGGCCGACAGACGUUUUUCCCAUGCCUACUUUUGCAUUAUAGAGUUGAAGCUUAGAGAAAGAAAUGCUGCCUUUAAAUGGGAUGGAACAUAUAUUCAGUUGUCUAGAGACCUAAAACAUGGCAUCUUAGAGAAAGUUGCUACUACUGUGUACAGUUUCAAGGCUUACCCAAAUGACAGAGAUAGGAAAGGCAGCUGAAGCUCUUGUUACGAAACCCCCGUCUGAAAGAGGCAGGAUCUAACACUGGGUGGAAUGGAUGGAAGAACAGCAUCAACUUCAAGAUGGGUAACUACAGAACCAAGUUGAGGAAAGCAGGAUGUCAGGAGGUCUCUGUAACGCAAGAAAAAUAAGCAGAAGGAAUCCAGAGAACGAACCAACGCAUUCAAAUAUAAAUAGAAUUAAGUGGGAUGAAGUUCAUUUUCUGCCAAACCAUUUCCUGCUGAGGCAGGAUAGGAUAGGAGUUCCCUGAUCUCUGAGUUGUAGGUGUAUGCAGAAUUCCAGUGAAUUACAAACCAGAACUUGCUAAACAUCUUCUAUGCUGAGAUUGACCAUCACACUCGGUUGAUGACCUUGUAUAGACAGAGGGCAUCGAAGACUGGAAGGACUGCUGACGCUUUGGUUGACAUUCUGAGGUGUCAUGAUCUACAGGAAAGGAACCCCAAAAGACAAUUCCUCUGUCACGGACGUGAUGAGAGACGGACCAAGGCGCAGCGUGAUUGGAGUUCCAUAUCUUUUAUUACUGUGAAACUUAAACAAACCAAGAAACAAACAACAACCGUGAAGUACCGUAGUGCUACAUGCACUCACUCAAAACAAUAUCCCACAAAACACAGGUGGGAAAAAGGCUACCUAAAUAUGAUCCCCAGUUAGUGUCAACACUUACCAGCUGCCUCUAAUUGGGAAACAUACAACUCACCAACAUAGAAAUACAAUGACUAGAACACCCCCCUAGUCACGCUCUGACCUAAACACCAUAGAGAACCAAGGGCUCUCACCAUAGAGAACCAACCCCCCCCCCCCCCCCCCACAAAGGUGCGGACUCCGGCCGCAAAACCUGAAAACAAAUGGGGAGGGUGGGGGGGGUGCCUAGUGUUGGUGGC